rnacentral:rRNA from 1 species
ACUCCUACGGGAGGCAGCAGUGGGGAAUAUUGGACAAUGGGGGACCGGUAGCAUCAGCCAUGCCGCGCUGUGUGAAGAAGGCCUUAUGGUUGUAAAGCACUUUAAGCGAGGAGGAGGCUACUAGUAUUAAUACUACUGGAUAGUGGACGUUACUCGCAGAAUAAGCACCGGCUAACUCUGUGCCAGCAGCCGCGGUAAUACAGAGGGUGCGAGCGUUAAUCGGAUUUACUGGGCGUAAAGCGUGCGUAGGCGGCCAUUUAAGUCAAAUGUGAAAUCCCCGCGCUAACUUAGGAUUGGCAAUUCUGAUACUGGAUGGCUAGAGUAUGGGAGAGGAUGGUAGAAUUCCAGGUGUAGCGGUGAAAUGCGUAGAGAUCUGGAGGAAUACCGAUGGCGAAGGCAGCCAUCUGGCCUAAUACUGACGCUGAGGUACGAAAGCAUGGGGAGCAAACAGGAUUAGAUACCCUGGUAGACAUCA